UUAUAAAUUAUUAAAAGUAAUUAUUAUGAGAUUUGUUUAAGUAUUUUAUAGAGAAAAAAUAAUUUUAAUUAUAGUUAAAUAGUAUUGUGAAAGAAAAUUGAAAUAAUUUGAAAAAUUAAUAUUUUAAAAGAAAAUUUAAUUUAUUGUACCUUGUGUAUCAGGGUUUAUUAAAUAAAAAUUAUUUAUUAUAAUUUUCUCGAUUUUAAAAGAGUUAAUAUAUUAUUUAAGUUAAUGUUACAAAAUUAUUUGAUAUAGUAUGUUAGAAAUGAAAUGUUAUUCGUUUUUAAAGGUAUCUAGUUCUUUAAGAAAUAAAUUUAAUUUAGAAAUUUUAUAUUAUUUAAUUAAAUAUAUUAAUUAAAUAAUUAUUUUAUUUUAAUAUUUUGUGGGAUAAGCUAUGAAAUAAAUUAUUAAAAAUUAUUAAAUGAUUUAAUAAAUAUAGGCUUAGAAAUAGCUAUUAUUAAUAAAAUUGUUAUAAUUUAUUUUAUUGUAUAAAUUAUUUAUUAGAUUUUAAUUAUGUAUUAAAGUAUUUAUUUUAAUUUAAAAAAUAAAAAAAUAAUGAUAAAAUUAGUAUAUUAUAGUGUAUAAGUAUAAUAAAUUGAUAAGUUUUUAUAAAGAACUCGGCAAAAAUAAUGUUCGCCUGUUUAACAAAAACAUGUCUUUUUGAAUUUUUUUAAAAGUCUAGCCUGCCCACUGAAUAAUUUAAAUGGCCGCAGUAUACUAACUGUGCAAAGGUAGCAUAAUCAUUAGUCUUUUAAUUGAAGGCUGGUAUGAAUGGUUGGACGAGAUAUUAACUGUUUCAUAAAAAUUUAUAAUAGAAUUUUAUUUUUUAGUCAAAAAGCUAAAAUAAAAUUAAAAGACGAGAAGACCCUAUAAAUCUUUAUAUAUAUAGGUUAUUAGAAUUUUGUAGAUUUUUUUUAUUAUAAUAAUUGAUUGUAUUUUAUUGGGGUGAUAUUAAAAUUUAAUAAACUUUUAAUUUUUUUUAUCAUUAAUAUAUGAAUAAUUGAUCCGUUAAUAGCGAUUAAAAAAAUAAGUUACUUUAGGGAUAACAGCGUAAUUUUUUUGGAGAGUUCAUAUCGAUAAAAAAGAUUGCGACCUCGAUGUUGGAUUAAGGUAUAAUUUUAGGUGUAGCCGCUUAAAUUUUAAGUCUGUUCGACUUUUAAAUUCUUACAUGAUCUGAGUUCAAACCGGCGUAAGCCAGGUUGGUUUCUAUCUUUAAUUAAUUAAAAUAUUUCAGUACGAAAGGACCUAAUAUUUAAUAAAUAAUUAUUUUUAUAUUGAAUAUAAAUAAUUUAU
rnacentral:rRNA from 1 species